rnacentral:lncRNA from 1 species
ACGUGUAUUGUAGCCUAUCUAACACUUUAUUGCUCUAUUUUACAGGAAGUCCACAUUGCAAGAACAGGCAGACAAGGUGAUGUCUGAAAAAGGGUUUUCUGGCUAUGAGCAGUCACCAUGGCCCAGCCAAUGCUCUACCAACUGGGCUAAGACAUGAGUAAAAUAAGAAAAGAGAGUUGCGGCCAAAGCAGUCACAAGGAAAUAAAAGAAAGGAAUGAGCCACAACAGGCAAAUGAACAGGGAGGGGCUGUACACUGUUAAUGUGUGCUCUGAAGCCUCAAAGCUGAGACGGACACAAGAUGUUGCAUGAUCACGUCGGAGUGUUGGCGUCAUCAAUAUAAAGGAUUUAAACAUGGUGAUAAGUAAUAUUUGUUGUUAUUAUUAUUAUUGUUAUUAUUAUUAUUAUUGUUGUUGUUAUUAUAAUUAUUAUUUUAUAAUUUGUAGCUUGUAUUAGUAGUGCUGUCUUUUUUCUUCUAUUGUUAAAAGCAUUACAUUUUGAUUUGUUUGCUGGAUGACUUUACUAUUGCAUUAAGUGUCACAUACUGUAUUUGAGUAUACCUAUGGAGUGAAAUUAGGGUCACAUUAGAUUUGUGCGUGUGUAAACCGAUCUGUGCGUGCAUAACCAGAAUUGUAAUUAGUGGGGCUAUACCAUGCUUACACUUACUACUACUACACUGAUUUGGGGCAUUGAAAUUACGCACAAAUUGUGGCUAAAUUUACAAGUAAAAUAACGUGACCUAAAUUUGCCUCCCUUUGAUUGGCUAAUGAACAAGGAAGUUCAGCAACAGAUUCUAAAAACUCCACAAGCAGCAUCAAGCUAGUCCACUGACUGAUGACUUUAAUUAUAUUUAAUGAUCAGACAGACAUGACUCAUAUUCAUGUGUAUGAAGAUGUUAAUGUAGCAUGUUAGCGUCAGGCUAUUAGCAAUGCUGUGCUACGUUAUGAUGUAUCUGGAGUUAAGGUGGGUAUGUUCUAGUAACGCUACCGUUGUGACUCUGUGUGAUCGUUUAUCAGAACCACA